rnacentral:rRNA from 1 species
UACAGAGGGCUCAAGCGUUGUUCGGAUUCAUUGGGCGUAAAGGGUGCGUAGGCGGCGCGUUAAGUCGGGUGUGAAAUCUCGGAGCUUAACUCCGAAACUGCAUUUGAUACUGCGGUGCUUGAGGACUGGAGAGGAGACUGGAAUUUAUGGUGUAGCAGUGAAAUGCGUAGAUAUCAUAAGGAAGACCAGUGGCGAAGGCGGGUCUCUGGACAGUUCCUGACACUGAGACACGAAGGCCAGGGGAGCAAACGGG